GCAAACUUGGUCAUUUAGAGGAAGUAAAAGUCGUAACAAGGUUUCCGUAGGUGAACCUGCGGAAGGAUCAUUAAUGAAGUCUGGGCUUCGGCCCUCUCUCUUCUACACACUUGUGAACUUACACUGUUGCUUUGGCAGGUUUCCCAGAGGACGAAAGUUCCGAGGGUCAGGUCGAAAGACGCCUGCCAUUGACACUUAUCCACCCUUUUUUAAUAGUCUGAUUAUUGUUUUAAACAAAUUAAAAUAAAACUUUCAACAAUGGAUCUCUUGGCUCUGGCAUCGAUGAAGAACGCAGC
rnacentral:misc_RNA from 1 species